rnacentral:rRNA from 1 species
AAACCAACUGGGAUUACCUUAGUAACGGCGAGUGAAGCGGUAAAAGCUCAAAUUUGAAAUCUGGUACUUUCAGUGCCCGAGUUGUAAUUUGUAGAAUUUGUCUUUGAUUAGGUCCUUGUCUAUGUUCCUUGGAACAGGACGUCAUAGAGGGUGAGAAUCCCGUUUGGCGAGGAUACCUUUUCUCUGUAAGACUUUUUCGAAGAGUCGAGUUGUUUGGGAAUGCAGCUCAAAGUGGGUGGUAAAUUCCAUCUAAAGCUAAAUAUUGGCGAGAGACCGAUAGCGAACAAGUACAGUGAUGGAAAGAUGAAAAGAACUUUGAAAAGAGAGUGAAAAAGUACGUGAAAUUGUUGAAAGGGAAGGGCAUUUGAUCAGACAUGGUGUUUUUGCAUGCACUCGCCUCUCGUGGGCUUGGGCCUCUCAAAAAUUUCACUGGGCCAACAUCAAUUCUGGCAGCAGGAUAAACUCAUUAAGAAUGUAGCUACUUCGGUAGUGUUAUAGCUUUUUGGAAUACUGUUAGCCGGGUA